GAUGACUGAUAAGAAUACUGUUACAAAAUAACUAUCAGAUAUUAAGAUCAACCUAACUGAACAAAAGAUAUUCAGACCAGCCUUUCAUAUGUUUAUGAUCUAUACUUUCUUUGUAAUUUAAUGAUGUUUCCUUUGAAAUUACCAGGUAUUAUUGCUAUUGAUGAAAAAUCUUUCGGUCCAUUUGCUAAGCCCUAAAUUUGAGGAAUAUGGAAUUCCGGAGUGCAAGCUGAAGUUUCCGGAGUGCAACCUUUUGCUGCUCCUACUGAUGUGCAUCCUCAUUCAAGAAGACCGCAGGCUGAUUUUCUUUGCUUGAGUAAUGAACCUGUACACGGAUUAGGGGAAGGGUAUUGUUACAUUAUGUUUUUUUCCUUUUCCAUUUUGUAAACGCGUAGGAGUAACUUGUAAAAUGUACGCUAUUUUUUAAUAUAUUUAAUGCUUGUUUAUGCAAAA